rnacentral:rRNA from 1 species
UGCCAGCCGCCGCGGUAACACGGGGGGCGCAAGCGUUAUUCGGAAUUAUUGGGCGUAAAGGGCGCGCAGGCGGUCUUGUCCGUCAGGUGUGAAAGCUCGGGGCUCAACCCCGUAAGUGCACUUGAAACAGCAAGACUUGAAUACGGUAGAGGAGAGAGGAAUUCCUGGUGUAGAGGUGAAAUUCGUAGAUAUUGGGUAGAACACCGGUGGCGAAGGCGGCCACCUGGGAGGGUACUGACGCUGAGACGCGAAAGCUAAGGUAGCGAACGGGAUUAGAUA